UACGGGGGGUGCGAGCGUUGUCCGGAGUUACUGGGCGUAAAGCGCGCGCAGGCGGCGGUGCUGGCCCGGCGUGAAAGCCCCCGGCUCAACCGGGGAGGGUCGUCGGGGACCGCACCGCUUGAGGGCGGUAGGGGCUGGUGGAAUGCCUGGUGUAGUGGUGAAAUGCGUAGAGAUCAGGCGGAACACCCGUGGCGAAGGCGGCCAGCUGGGCCGUCCCUGACGCUGAGGCGCGAAGGCGUGGGGAGCGAACGGG
rnacentral:rRNA from 1 species